rnacentral:tRNA from 1 species
GACCGCGUAGCUCAGUUGGAAGAGCAUUGGGGUAGUAUUCCAAAGGUCGUAGGUUCGAAUCCCGCCGAGGCCA